rnacentral:sRNA from 1 species
GAUACCAGGGUCAAAAGGUCUAAAAUCCGAUGAGGGCUUGCAUGAAGGAGGAUUUUUGAACUUGGGACCCGCCAAAAACAUGAGUAAGGAGCCAUUUUUUGAAGAAAAAUGAGCGGAUUACGAAUGUUUUUAGAAUUGCGGGAGUGCAAAGCACGUAGCAAUUCGGU